AUUCAGAGAAGGAACUGGGAUAAAGGGCCUACAUAAGAGGAAGCCAUGAAUCCUUGUUGAAGCAUCAGACAGCAGGAGCUGUUGGCCAGAUGCUUCUGGAUGCUGACAGGGGAAAGCUGAUUCGGAGACGAGCGGCCAGAGAUGUUUGGACACGUCUCUCACUUUGGAUCUGUCAUCUGAGUGAGUGUCGCUACUUCAUGAGGCUUCAGAUUUGACCCCAGGCUGGUAACCUGCUUUGGGAGCUGCGCAGGGGGGAGGAUGUCGAGCUCAGCUCCGUCGAAGAAGCCUUACCGCAAGGCACCGCCGCAGCACCGCGAGAUCCGCCACGAGGUGCCCAUCCUUCGUGACGACCAGGAUGGAGUGAUCUUGGCCGAGCAGAGUCAGGUAACGGCUUGCCGGGUGGCAAAGGGCUUAA